rnacentral:rRNA from 1 species
GAUGAACGCUGGCGGCGUGCCUAAUACAUGCAAGUCGAACGCUGAAGGAGGAUCUUGCUCUUCUGGAUGAGUUGCGAACGGGUGAGUAACGCGUAGGUAACCUGCCUCGUAGCGGGGGAUAACUAUUGGAAACGAUAGCUAAUACCGCAUGACAACAGUUAUUGCAUGAUAACUGUUUAAAAGGGGCAACUGCUCCACUACCAGAUGGACCUGCGUUGUAUUAUCUAGUUGGUGAGGUAACGGCUCACCAAGGCGACGAUACAUAGCCGACCUGAGAGGGGGAGCGGCCACACUGGGACGGAGACACGGCCCAGACGCCUACGGGAGGCAGCAGUAGGGAAUAUGCGGGAAUGGAGGGAAGAAUGACCGAGCAACGCCGCGUGAGUGAAGAAGGUUGUCGGAUCGGAAAGAUCUGUUGUAAGAGAAGAAAGAGUGUGAGAGUGGAAAGUGCAAAAUGUGACGGUAUCUAAACAGAAAGGGACGGCUAACUACGUG